UACGGAGGUUGCAAGCGUUAUCCGGAUUUAUUGGGUUUAAAGGGUGCGUAGGCGGAAUGAUAAGUCAGUGGUGAAAGCCUGCAGCUUAACUGUAGAAUUGCCAUUGAUACUGUCGUCCUUGAGUCUAGUUGAGGUGGGCGGAAUGUGUAAUGUAGCGGUGAAAUGCUUAGAUAUUACACAGAACACCAAUUGCGUAGGCAGCUCACUAAACUAUAACUGACGCUGAGGCACGAAAGCGUGGGGAGCAAACAGG
rnacentral:rRNA from 1 species